AGCUCCAAUAGCGUAUAUAAAAGUUGUUGCAGUUAAAAAGCUCGUAGUCUGAUUCUUGGUUUGGGCCGAGCGCCCGCGGCCGACUGGUCGCGCGUGUGCUAAGCCCGGGCCUUGUACUUUGGAGGAACGCGCGUGCUUUUAACUAAGUGCGCGCGGGAUUCCGAUAGUUUACUUUGAGAAAAAUAGAGUGUUCAAAGCAGGCGAUUGCCUUGAAUACAUUAGCAUGGGAUAAUGGAAUAGGACAUUGGUUCUAUUUUGAUGGUUUACGGACCGAUGUAAUGAUUAAUAGGGACAGUUGGGGACAUUCAUAUUCCAUGGCUAGAGGUGAAAUUCUUGGAUUCAUGGAAGAUGAACUACUGCGAAAGCAUUUGUCAAAGAUGUUUUCAUUGAUCAAGAACGA
rnacentral:rRNA from 1 species